GCUCCGGUGGCCUAGUAGUUAGAGCGUCCGCCUCGGAUGCGGGAGGUUGCAGGUUCUAUCCCCUGUCGAGUCA